CCUAAAACUGCACCCUGCUGGGAUAGGGAGGCCUGGUGAUCCUGCCAGUGGCGGGGCAGGGCCAGCAAAUGCCAGGUUUGAGGACCAUCCUGGUGAAAGCAAUGUGGAUUCUGGAGUUUUAAAAUGAGCCAGCUGAAAUGCAGAUGUGCCAACUGACGUGAAGACUUGAAAAUGGACUUCAAGUUUCACUUAAAGGAGCCGAGUGGACGGUGACUAAUAUUGUCACUGGGGCAGGACAACGCUUUGAUGGGGAACUGUGCUGCUAAUGUGAGAGGCUGAUGAAGAGCCGCUGAUGAAACAAGGAAACAAUCACUGAAAAGCCAAGCUAAAAGACACCAUCUUCCCGACCCUUACCAUGCAUAACCUGCAGACUCUGCACGAGAGCUAAUGCUGUAAGUAA